rnacentral:lncRNA from 1 species
CAAAGUGCUGGGAUUACAGGCGUGAGCCACCUUGCCUGGCCUGUCCUGGUCCCUUGAGGUGGCUUUCCUCCCUGAAUCUGCUCCUGUACAGUCCUUAUGGUCCCCUGAUUUGCAUCUUUGCUCCUUCCUCCCCAGGCUGUGGGAACCUCCAAGAGAAGGGAGACGGAGAGCCCUGCUCAGAACAAGUGGCCUAUGAAGCUGUGGCUGGGUCCCCAGGGUCCUCGGCCUUCCUUGUUCAUGGAGGGGGUGUCCUGUGGGUGUGGGGACAGUGGGCUCAGGUGGUCGGGCCAGCAGUGAGGUCUGGCGAGUGAGCUGGUCAAGCAGGCAGAGUAACCAGAGGUGAAGAUGAACGCCAUGGAUUUGGGCACGCAAGAGCUGGCUCCUGGGAAAAUCAGCUAGGGCUGGCAGCUUAAGACAGAAAGGUUCUCCUAAGUCCAGGGAAGGGGGUCAAAGUCCACAAAGCAAGGACCUUGCCCUCACCCUCCCAGUAAGUGACACAUAGAUUAGGUCAGAUACUUGAGCGGGGCUGUGAGACUUAGGCACAUCCCACGUGUGGCAGAUACUGAUGGGGUGAGACGCUGAACCUGGAAUGGAGCUCUAAAUUUGAAUUCCAGUUCAGCAGUAAACUCACCACAUGACCUUGGAAGAGACCGUGCACCUCCCUGAGCCACAGAGCCCUUUACUGCAAGCUGAGGAUAACACCCGUCCUCUGCACCCCAGAAGUGUGUUGGGAGGAGAAAAGGUUAGAAGCCUGGGGGUUCCUUGUAAGCAGUGAUGAAUGGAGGGGUCUGUGAAGGGUGGCUGAAAAUCAGGGUGCUCCAGGCCAGGGGCAGGGAUCCUGGCAGUGGAGUGGGAGAGAGAUUCAAGAACAGAGUCUCUCCAGGUUUUGCCAUCUGUAGAGGUCAGAAGCACCCUGCCUUGACCUUGGGCUAUUUCUAGAGAGCUGGCCAGGCAUCUCUCAUGAUGGCAGCAGCUGGCUGCCUCUCCUCUGGUGCUGGCUGCCUGCUCCUUGGCUCUGGCUGGACCUGCUCCAGGUUGAGGUCUCACCAGUUGAGCUGUCAGAGCCAAGGUAGGACAGAACCCAGGCUGAGCCCUCUGGAGAACCCGCAGUAUCUCAGAGGCACUUUAGCUUCUGAAGCGAGGAGAAAGCCUUGCAAGUUUAGUCCACGGUAGCCUGGAAGAAGCCGUCUCACUGGGGAGUUGGAGUUGGUCAAUAUUUCCUACCCCCAUCACCACCACAACUUUACAAUUGCUUCAGGCAUUAAUUACCCUUUGCAACAGCCUUCUCAUCAAGUCACUUCUCCAUUCAACAAAUUCUUAGUAAGGGCCGAUGUGGCCCCCAUAGAGCUUACAACUGAGUGCAUCGACAAGAAAAUAAACAUGAAAAAAAUAUAAUUCUGACUUGUGGUAAGAGCUCAUAAGGAAGUGAACUGGGUGCAGUGUAGUUGGGUGGUAAGGGAAGGGGCUCUCUGGAGAAAUACCACUGAAGCUGAGGCUCGAAGGAUGAGAAGGGGCCAGCUAAGUGAAUAGUGGGGGGAUAGGAAGGUGUUCCAGGCAGAGGGAACAACACAUGCAAAAGCUUAAUGGCAGGAGAGGGCUCAGGGCCUUAGAGAUAUAAAGGAGGUGAGGGGGACUAGACUGUAAUGAGUGAGGAAGACAGAGUGGGAGACCAGUCAGAGAGACAGGCAGGGGCUAGAUUGGGCAGGGCCUUUUAGGCCAGGGGAAGGAGCUGGGAUUGUCUUCCAAGUACAAUGGGAAAUGCUAAAGGGUUUUAAGGAGAGAGUGAUGGCAUCUAAUUUGCACCGUGAAAGGUUACUUUGCUCUGUGGAGAGACAGAAGAAUAGAAGUAGGAAGACUCUGAAGUAGUUUGGGUGACUUAGACUAUGAUAAUGUAGCAGACAGGAUAAGCUAGGUUGUGCUGCAGUAACAGACAGCCCCCAUUUCAAUGGCUUAACAUAACAAAGAUUUAUUUCUCUGUCAUGCAUCAGCAGAAGGGCUCUGUUGAUCUUACUCACUCAGGAAUCCAGGUAUGGGUCUCAUCUGGACAUGAUGUCCAUAAUCCCCAUGAAAGGAGACAGGAAGUAUAUUGGUUCUUUAAAUUACCACCAGAAGUGACAGAUAUCUCUUCACAUGUCAUUGGCCAAACAGGUCACAGAGGCAAGCCUAACUUCAUAUCAAGUGGGAGAGUGCCAUCAUGCCACAAACCCAGAAAAACUGUGUCACACUAAUGACCACCACAGACCAGGAGAGUGAAGACAGAGAGAAGCAAAUGAAUCCAAGGUACAUUUUGGAAGCGUCAGCUGAACAAUUACAAGGGUCAUAUAUUUAGACAGGAGAACUUUAUUUCUCCUAAAGAAUUGUAGCUUGCAGGGUACCCAUUCUGACAAGCUGGGAAGUGUAGCCUUGGGUCAGAAGCUGAGAACAGGCACUUUGAGGCUGGGAAGACUAAGACAGGGAUUUAUACUGAAUGGGAUGGCCAAAUAUAAGCAUAUUAUGUGCAACUGAGGAUCAUGCCUCUCUGCGGGUCCCAUGUUAAAAAAAUGGUAGCAUUAGCAUGAUCCAAGGGUAGAGGUUUUGGUUCUCUGGUGUCAAAAGGUAAAGCAGAGGACAUGAAAACCCUCACUGUGCAUCCUUACAGGUUGGUUUCAACCUGGCUGGUUGAAUUCAAGGGCACAGCAAGUCUUUUGAAAGGCUGGUCACUGUUUAGCCCUUAGGGAAGAAAGCCUUGUGGUGGUUAGUGAAGAAGGGCGGAUAAGGAAGCCUGUCUCACCUCUGGUUGCAUCGUGGCUGGGAAUUCAGUUUCCAAGGUUUCUCUGAGGUCCUUUAGACCGAGAAGGGAUCUAUUCACUUAGUUGGGGCUGGAUUUCAUUUUUAUUUCUCAGAAGUAAAAGUGACAGGCCUUCCUGAUGAGUUGUAUGUAGAGCAGGGGGAGGAGAUAGGAGAGUCUGAUGAUUCCCAGGUUCCUCAGGGCCUGGUGCUUGGUGGUCCCAUUUGCUAGAGCAGGGGCUGGAACGAAAGGCAUGGAGCUGGACAUGCGCCAGUGUGGAAACUGGAUUAUGUAAAUCUGGAGUUUGGGAAAGGGGGUUCGGGCUGGAGGUACAAAUUUGGGUGUCAUCAAAUAUAGAUAGUGAUGAGUGCUUCAGGAAUGGAUGGCUCUUGGGCCUUAGAAUUCAGACUGAAACUUACACCACUGGCUUCCCUGGUUGUCCAUCCUUUGAACUCGGACUGAAUUACACCACUGACUUUUCUGGUUCUCCAGCUUAUGGACAGCAGAUGGUGGGACUCUUUGGCCUCCAUAAUCACAUGAGCCUCUUCCUAUAAUAAAUUUCCUUACAUAUAUGUAAUAUAUGUGUGUGUCCUGUUGAUUCUGUUUCUCUGGAGAACCCUGACUAAUAAUACACUAUUUCCUCCCAAAACUUUUUUUUUUUUAAUACCAGUUUGCAUUUCCACCAACAAUAUUUAAGAGUCCUCUUUUCCCAUCCUUCACUAAUACUGAAAAAUCUUUCCGGCUGGGCGUGGCUCAUGCCUAUAAUCUCAGCACUGUGGGAGGCCGAGGCAAGUGGAUCACAUGAGGCCAGGCAUUUGAGACCAGCCUGGCCAACAUGGCGAAACCCCUCCUCUACUAAAAAUACAAGAAUUAAUGUGGCAUGGUGGCGCACACCUGUAAUCCCAGCUUCUUGGGAGGCUGAGGCAGGAGAAUCACUUGAACCCGGAAGGUGGAGGUUGCAGUGAGCCGAGAUCAUGCUGC